GACGAACGCUGGCGGCGUGCUUAACACAUGCAAGUCGAACGGAAAGGCCCUGCUUUUGUGGGGUGCUCGCGUGGCGAACGGGUGAGUAACACGUGAGUAACCUGCCCUUGACUUUGGGAUAACUUCAGGAAACUGGGGCUAAUACCGGAUAGGAGCUCCUGCUGCAUGGUGGGGGUUGGAAAGUUUCGGCGGUUGGGGAUGGACUCGCGGCUUAUCAGCUUGUUGGUGGGGUAGUGGCUUACCAAGGCUUUGACGGGUAGCCGGCCUGAGAGGGUGACAGGCCCAAUGGGGGAUUGAGAACGGCCCGACUCCUACGGGGGGCAGAAGUGGGGAAUAUUGCACAAUGGGCGGAAGCCUGAGGCAGCAACGCCGCGUGUGGGAUAACGGCCUUCGGGUUGUAAACCGCUUUCGCCGGUGACGAAGCGUAAGUGACGGUAAUGGGAAAAGAAGCACCGGCUAACUACGUG
rnacentral:rRNA from 1 species